AUCUUUGUGCGGUGGCAGUAUCAAAGCUCAUGAGGUUAAUCUGAGGAAUGAGCAAUGCUAGUUGAAAAUUUACCCAAUACUUUGCCUUGAUAAUUUGAAAUAUAAUCAGCUAUGAGAUUUUGAUAGUCUCGACAGCAGUGA